AAGCAAUUGAGCUUCUAGAGGAAGGUCACUCUAUGAGUCUCAAGGACCAGUCAAUGGGCUAUUCUGAAUUUAUAAAGGACACAAUCUACAACCAGCAGGAGGAGUGAAAUGAUUCCAGCUAAUGGGUAACAAGUGGAUUCUUCUGUAGAGCAUCCAUGAAGCAGUCACUGGGGCACCCAGAGCUGUUCAGGUGCACGCGGAGGCAAGAAUCUGUGUCAGAGACUUACGGCGAUGUGACCUUCCCCUUGGUCUGGUGUGAUCUGAGGAAAAGUGCUGUAUCUUACCAAGAACAGAAAAUGUCAAAGAAAGGGUCUUUUUUAGGCAAAGGAAACUCCAAAGAGAAUGUGAUGUCUGGACUCUGUAGGUGAUGUAUAGAGAUGAUGGCAGGUGACUCAGAAAUUCAGAGAUACUAAUUGGCUAGAACCACAGUGAUCGCACGGCCAGUUUUCUCAUCACAGAUACGAUGCAUCUCUCCAUUUCCUCAAGUCUUUUUCUAAGCAGUGCCUGGUGACUUUUCUUUUUAUGGUAAACACAGAAAUUCAAGUAAAGAUAAAUCAACAUUUUAUUCCUGAUAGAAUUUACAUCCCCUGAAAAAUUAAAAUGGUCUAAAUGUAAGGUUUCCUUUAAUCUGUACUGGACACAAUGAGAUCCCACCUCACACCAGUGAGAAUGGGGAAAAUUAACAAGGCAGGAAACCACAAAUGUUGGAGAGGAUGCGGAGAAAAGGGAACCCUCCUGCACUGUUGGUGGGAAUGUGAACUGGUGCAGCCGCUCUGGAAAACUGUGUGGAGGUUCCUCAAAGAGUUAAGAAUAGACCUGCCCUACGACCCAGCAAUUGCACUGCUGGGGAUUUACCCCAAAGAUAGAGAUGCAAUGAAACGCCGGGACACCUGCACCCUGAUGUUUCUAGCAGCAAUGGCCACAAUAGCCAAACUGUGGAAGGAGCCUCAGUGUCCAUCGAAAGAUGAAUGGAUAAAGAAGAUGUGGUUCAUGUAUACAAUGGAAUAUUCCUCAGCCAUUAGAAACGACAAAUACCCACCAUUUGCUUUGACGUGGAGGGAACUGGAGGGUAUUAUGCUGAGUGAAGUAAGUCAAUCAGAGAAGGACAAACAUUAUAUAUUCUUUCAUUUGGGGAAUAUAAAUAAUAGUGAAAGGGAAUAUAAGGGAAGGGAGAAGAGAUGUGUGGGAAAUAUCAGAAAGGGAGACAGAACAUAAAGACUCCUAAC